rnacentral:rRNA from 1 species
GACGAACGCUGGCGGCGUGCUUAACACAUGCAAGUCGAACGGAAAGGCCCUGCUUUUGUGGGGUGCUCGAGUGGCGAACGGGUGAGUAACACGUGAGUAACCUGCCCUUGACUUUGGGAUAACUUCAGGAAACUGGGGCUAAUACCGGAUAGGAGCUCCUGCUGCAUGGUGGGGGUUGGAAAGUUUCGGCGGUUGGGGAUGGACUCGCGGCUUAUCAGCUUGUUGGUGGGGUAGUGGCUUACCAAGGCUUUGACGGGUAGCCGGCCUGAGAGGGUGACCGGCCUCAUUAGGACUGAGAAACGGCCCAGUCUCCAACGGGAGGCAGCAGUAGGGAAUAUUACACAAUGGGAGGAAGCCUGAUGCAGCAACGCCGCGUGCGGGAUGACGGCCUUCGGGUUGUAAACCGCUUUCGCCUGUGACGAAGCGUGAGUGACGGUAAUGGGUGAAGAAGCACCGGCUAACUACGUG